CCUCCCUCAGGGCUAAAAUACCUGCAGCCACUUACCUGAAUCCAGCGCCGAUGUCCCUCGGCCCUGGGUCAGGCUCCUCCCCCGCACAUUAAACCUCCCCAUAGGAGAGGAAGUCCAGCGUCAGAUAACGGACCAAAAGACCAUUUAGAUUCCAGGAAGCCCUCUAGUGGCUGUCUGGUAGACAGCCACAGAGGGCAAACUUAGAGCUGCAAUGUAAACAUUGCAGUUCUCUGGAACUGCAGUGUUUUACAUUGCAGCACUAAGUGCAAAAGGCUCACAGCACCCAGACUACUUCAAUUAGCUGAAGUGGUCUGGGUGCCUACAGUGUCCCUUUAAUUUUUAUUAGUAAUGUGAAAAUAUGGAUGAUGUUUGCACAAAAGGAAUUUGUUUGGGAGAGGUUGGUUUAUUUUGUAAAAUAGCAUUUGAAUGUGCAGGUUUUAUGCCAUGUCUACAAUUUUAU